GACGAACGCUGGCGGCGUGCUUAACACAUGCAAGUCGAACGAAGUGGCGAACGGGUGAGUAACGCGUAAUCAACCUGCCCUUCCGAGGGGGACAACAGUUGGAAACGCCUGCUCAUACCGCAUACUGAAGGAGGGGAUUGCGUCUGAUUAGCUAGUUGGAGGGGUAACGGCCUACCAAGGCGAUGAUCAGUAGCCGGUCUGGGAGGAUGAACGGCCACAUUGGGACUGAGACACGGCCCAGAAUCCUACGGGAGGCAGCAGUGGGGAAUCUUCCGCAAUGGACGAAAGUCUGACGGAGCAACGCCGCGUGAGUGAUGACGGCCUUAGGGUUGGAAAGCUCUGUUAAUCGGGACGCGGUACCGGAAUAGAAAGCCACGGCUAACUACGUGCCAGCAGCCGCGGUAAUUC
rnacentral:rRNA from 1 species